rnacentral:lncRNA from 1 species
UCCAAGGAACAGAUACAUCAUGCCCUUCAAGAAGCUGCGUUUGUGAUUCGGAGGUGAGUAGUGAAGGAGAGAGUGCUGUGAUCCUUUGAGAUGGAAGGCACAUGUAUAGAUACCUACAAUAUGAUGGAGCCACUUUUCUACUACCCAGACUACCCAGGAGGAGGGGCAGCAGCCAUGAUGAGGACUCUCAGAGAAGCUAGACCACGUGAAACUUGCGCUCUCUCUCUUGAAACUCAUGGUCAAUGAACUGCUUGCCUCCAGAGGGAAUCUUCACCUGCCUCUGGAUGAUACUUGUGAGUAAGGUACUUGAGAUCUAACUAGAUAUAUAGUUUGCAGUAACACAGCUGUGUAAUCAAAGGCUACCAAGCCACUGUUUGCUCUAAGGGAUUUCUCUGAUAUUGCUUUACCCAGUACCCUAUUCCAAACCUACUCCUUAUAAUCAAUAAAUUCUCCUCUGUACCAAGUGUGGGAGACUUA